rnacentral:lncRNA from 1 species
GCUUCCUUUCUGUAUUGGAGUUAAUGGAGCAAAUCUGACUUCCUGAGACAGUACCUCCAGAACUCAAGAAGGUGGAACUUCAUUUCUGCCUAUUUUGGCAAAAUACCCCAUGUGGAAUACUCGAAUAACAAAGCAAAGAUCUCUUCAGGAAGAUACAAUAAUAAUCACAUGAUUCAAUAAAAACUGAGAAGAUUCCUGGUU